rnacentral:lncRNA from 1 species
CAAGAAGCAGAGACAUGGGCAAAUCACUUGUUUGUGAUGAUAAGCCUCAUGGUGAAUUAAAGAAUUAUAAUCAAAAUAUGUGAACGAAUUAGUUGAAAGAGACAUUACCCUCACUCAGUAUCUCUUCCUUUUUCUUAGAAAUGGUUGAGAAAAAGGCAAAGGGAGCCCACCUGGGGAUAAACAACUGAAGAUAACUGACAUAGCUUUUGGAAUGCAACAUAGCAAGACAGCAAUGUGUGGAAGGCAUUUCCUAGGGUAUGAAAAGGAUGCAGAUGAGAAUAGAAGACAUGGGCUCACAAUACAUUUUAAGAGGAAGUCAUCAGCAUUUUAAUCCUCUACAAGAACCAUAGACACCCACGCAGCUGUUGUCAGAAGAAAAGGUAAGAAAAACAAUUUUUUUUCCAACAGCAGAAAAGAAUUUGAAUUACUACUUCUUUUAGUCACUUAUUUUUCUCACUCAUGUGCAGUAUUUUCUUUAACUUGGGUACCGCGUUUUGGUUACUAAUAACUGCUGAUCUGUCCUGAAUGAAUGGAUUAGUUUAUAGGAAAGAUUUGCAUGAUAGAGAAUCAAUAGGGCAAGUUUAAAUCCCUUGCUGGUGUGGAGAGAGGAAACAAAUUAAUCUGGUGAUUGUUGAUAAAUUGUGAGCAGAGAAGUGAAAAAAUAUAUUUUUUGGGGGGAAAAAUGAUCGUCUGUAAUGUCAAAAGUGAAAAAUACCAGGAAAAUUCAAGUAAGGGAUCCUAAGCCUCUGCUUUAUCCCACACUCAUAAAAACUGAUUUGAGCUGAUGUUGGAUUCUAUCCAUUAAUAGAGAAAAAAUGACUUUCACAAUUAACUCCUUAUAUGAAUAAGGAGUUUUGCCCAAUAUGAAGUGGUAUACCUGGAUGUUAUAUGUGUGAGGCUACUUUAAGAGAGUCUUAACCCAUAAAUAAGGGAAAGAAGGGAGGAAAGGAC